CUUUGGAGCUUGGAGAAUUAGGCUUUUUGCGGGUUGCAAGUCUUUGUGACAAUGGAAUCAAAUCCAGGUCAGUGCUCUUUCACUUUGGAUGAUGCAUUCUUCCUUACUACCCAUGGGGAAAAGAGGUUCCUUGAUUGUGUGUGGGUGAGGUUGCUGCCCAUGGGGCCAGGAGACCACAUGCAAGAGAGGUCUUAUUUGACGCGCUCUCUCUACUGCCCAUGGGGGGAGAGAAAAACCUUGAGGGUAUGGGUAAGGCUACUAUCCAUGGGGCCAAGAGUUUGCAUACCAGAGAGGACAAUAUCAUGCCAGUUGUAAAUGGGUGGAUCCCUUGACCAGUCUAUGUGGUAGUAUGGUAUAUUUGAGAUAAAUUACUGUAUGUUAGAUUUUAUGGCUUUGGAAUAUAUUUUUAGUGCUCACAUAUUAUAGUGUAUAGUUUCAAGGUAUCUACUUUGAUAAACUUUUUGUUUCAUUAUUUAAUUAUUCUUUUCAUGUCAUAUUAUUGUUAUUGAAGAUGAAACUUGCAUUUCCCCCACCCCCCAUUAAUUAUGCUACUUAUUGGGCGUUAGCUCAUCCCACCCUCUAACAGUUUUUCAGAUUUAUUAGCUAUACCUUGGGUAUGGAGCUUAUUUCUUUGGUGAUGAUUAGAGUGAUAUGUUAAAUUUGGAGAUUUUUGCUGUAAAUGGGUUGGUGACUUGAUCUUGCUAUGUUCAACGGGACCUUAAUUAAUUCUAUUGGAGGUAGAUUGCUUGAGGUUUGUUAGCCCUUGGCGUGGUAGGCCUAGACUCGAUGUUAAGGUCCUUAUUCUCGAUAAGAUUGUGACUUUGUGUAAUUUAAUCAGAGUUUUGUAUUAUAUUCAUGUAUUAUGUGGA